rnacentral:rRNA from 1 species
CCUACGGGGUGCAGCAGUGGGGAAUAUUGCACAAUGGGGGAAACCCUGCUGCAGCGACGCCCCGUGAGUGAAGAAGUAUUUCGGUAUGUAACGCUCUAUCAGCAGGGAAGAGAAUGACGGUACCUGAGUAAGAAGCCCCGGCUAACUACGUGCCAGCAGCCGCGGUAAUACGUAGGGGGCAAGCGUUAUCCGGAUUUACUGGGUGUAAAGGGAGUGUAGACGGCGAAGAAAGUCUGAAGUGAAAGCCCGCGGCUCAACCGCGGAACUGCUUUUGAAACUUUUUUGCUGGAGUACCGGAGAGGUAAGCGGAAUUCCUAGUGUAGCGGUGAAAUGCGUAGAUAUUAGGAGGAACACCAGUGGCGAAGGCGGCUUACUGGACGGUAACUGACGUUGAGGCUCGAAAGCGUGGGGAGCAAACAGGAUUAGAUACCCCAGUAGUC